GUGGGGAAUAUUGGACAAUGGGCGAAAGCCUGAUCCAGCAACGCCGCGUGAGGGAUGACGGCCUUCGGGUUGUAAACCUCUUUCAGCGCAGACGAAGCGAAAGUGACGGUAUGCGCAGAAGAAGCACCGGCCAACUACGUGCCAGCAGCCGCGGUAAUACGUAGGGUGCGAGCGUUGUCCGGAAUUAUUGGGCGUAAAGGGCUCGUAGGCGGUCUGUUGCGUCAGGAGUGAAAACUCGGGGCUUAACCCCGAGCCUGCUUCUGAUACGGGCAGACUAGAGGUAUGCAGGGGAGAACGGAAUUCCUGGUGUAGCGGUGAAAUGCGCAGAUAUCAGGAGGAACACCGGUGGCGAAGGCGGUUCUCUGGGCAUUACCUGACGCUGAGGAGCGAAAGUGUGGGGAGCGAACAGGAUUAGAAACCCUGGUAGUCC
rnacentral:rRNA from 1 species